UUUCCGUAGGUGAACCUGCGGAAGGAUCAUUAAUGAGAACUAAGGGUAGUAGUCUUGGCUAUUACUCUGAACACUCCACCCUUUGUUUAUAUUACCUUUGUUGCUUUAGCAGGCCCGCUCUCGAGCCGCCGGCACCUGCUGGCUAGUGCCUGCUAAAGAACCUAAAACUCUUGUUAAUAAUAUUGUCUGAGUACUAUAUAAUAGUUAAAACUUUCAACAACGGAUCUCUUGGUUCUGGCAUCGAUAAAGAACGCAGC
rnacentral:misc_RNA from 1 species